rnacentral:rRNA from 1 species
CAGAGGUCCCAAGCGUUGUUCGGAUUCAUUGGGCGUAAAGGGUGCGUAGGUGGCGCUGUAAGUCGGGUGUGAAAUUUCGGAGCUUAACUCCGAAACUGCAUUCGAUACUGCGGUGCUUGAGGACUGGAGAGGAGACUGGAAUUCAUGGUGUAGCAGUGAAAUGCGUAGAGAUCAUGAGGAAGACCAGUGGCGAAGGCGGGUCUCUGGACAGUUCCUGACACUGAGGCACGAAGGCCAGGGGAGCAAACGGGAUUAGAUACCCCGGUAGUCCUGGCAGUAAACGGUGCACGUUUGGUGUGGGAGGAUUCGACCCCUUCCGCGCCGGAGCUAACGCGUUAAACGUGCCGCCUGGGGAGUACGGUCGCAAGAUUA